GCCAGCAUGGUGUAGUGGUUUGAGCAUUGGACCAGGAUUCUGGAGACCAGGGUUCAAAUCUCUGUUCAGCCA